UGACAAUAUAGAAAAACUGAGAAUAGGAGAUUAGUACGAAGAAAACCUGAAUUAUUAUCUUGUUAUUGCCUAAUAAACCACGUUCUUACCAAAUUACUCAUCAUAAAUAUUAAAGUUGGUCCAGUGAAACCAAGAGCGACAAACAA
ensembl:ncRNA Y97E10B.13 ncRNA